AAAUAGCUAAUAAAAUCAUUUAAAAAAAGUAAAAUAGAUAUGUCUUAAAAUUUAAAUGAUACGUUUUUGUACUGCAAGUGCAAAAAUCAAUAAAUUGGCUGAAACCAGGGAGUACAUCUUUUAUGCUCUUCCAUUGACUUAUCUCCCUUGGGCAACAUGUCAGCUCCCAGUGAUGGACUUGGCAGACAAAGUUUACAGUGAAGUUUGCAACUUUAAUAAUCUAGGAGGAGUAUUUGGGCUAUCCCAGCAUUAUGCAUCUACAUAUUACAAACUAUUUAAGAUAUCUGAAUGCACUAAAGACCAAAUUAUCAUUUCCCAAAAGAAUAAUUAGUUAUUACUGCCAAUGCAAGAAUCUGCCAAUCAUGACAAUAAAUUACCAGACAAUAAUCAUAACUUAGUGAAUAAACAUGAUGAAAACUAUGGUGUAGAAUUUCCAACAGGAUUCCUUGUUUUAUAUAAGACGAGGAGUGGUUUAUUUUCCUAUGGUUGUUAUAUCAUCUCGUCUUAGACAUGUUAGAAUAUGGUUGAAGUACAGGGACUUUUAUGGAAUUCAUUGACAUCAUAGUCAAGCAAGAUGUCAACAUCCCGUCCAACCAUCUUCCAGUAAAGCCAAUUUGAAAGCUGACUUAGGAUCUUCAUCAUUUCCUGACAGGGUGUAUACAGGACGAGUCAUUCCACUAGGAUCAGGACUAUUAUCAUGAUAAUAGAUGCAGGCAAUGCUGAUGAUUUUUGUGAAAGUGACAAUAGCCAGGUCAAACUAAAUACAUGUAAAGAACAAGAUACUGAUCUAGACUCACAGCUAACUGAACUUUUACAGCAGUCAACAUCAGAUUGGAAGACUGAUAAUGCUUCUGACAGAAACAAUUUCAACCAACCAAACAAGUAACCGAAACUUUGCAUCUUUAAAACACUACUUACCUCUUCCAUGGGAUGAUGUUCCAAAAAAUAACAGUUCAUCAUUAAUGAAGAUUUUUAUGUUAUGGAUUUUCUUUUACAAGAAAGUUAAUGUACACUUGUUUUUAUAGUAAAACCUUGCUGUUCAAGUAUCAAAAAAACAAUACUUUAUUGAAAUUUGAAGAUUCAUAUGACUUUUUUAGCUCACCUGUCCCGAAGGGACAAGUGAGCUUAUGCCAUCACUUGGCGUCCGUCGUCGUCUGUCGUCGUAAACUAUUUCAAGAAUCUUCUCCUCUGAAACUACUGGGCCAAAUACUUUCAAACUUUAACUGAAUGUUCCUUAGGGUAUCUUAUUUAUAAAUUGUAUAUGAAGUUUUGAUCUAUCAACAAACAUGGUCGCCAUUGCUAAAAAUAGAACAUAGGGGUCAAAUGCAGUUUUUGGCUUAUAACUCAAAAACCAAAGCAUUUAGAGCAAAUCUGACAUGGGGUAACUUUGUUUAUCAGGUGAAGAUCUAUCUGCCCUGAAAUUUUCAGAUGAAUCAGACAACCCGUUGUUGGGUUGCUGCCCCUGAAUUGGUAAUUUUAACGAAAUUUUGCUGUUUUUGGUUAUUAUCUUCAAUAUUAUUAUAGAUAGAGAUAAACUGUAAACAGGAAUAAUGUUCAGCAAAGUCAGAUUUACAAAUAAGUCAACAUGACGGAAAUGGUCAGUUGACCCCUUUAGGAGUUAUUGCCCUUUAUAGUCAAUUUUUAACCAUUUUUCGUAAAUCUUAGUUAUCUUUUACAAAAAUCUUCUCCUCUGAAACUACUGGGCCAAAUACUUCCAAGCUUUGACUGAAUGUUCCUUAGGGUAUCUAGUUUGUAAAUUGUAUCCGAAGUUGUGAUCUAUCAACAAACAUGGUCGCCAUUGCUAAAAAUAGAACAUAGGGGUCAAAUGCAGUUUUUGGCUUAUAACUCAAAAACCAAAGCAUUUAGAGCAAAUCUGACAAGGGUAUUAUUGUUUAUCAGGUCAAGAUCUAUCUGCCCUGAAAUUUUCAGAUGAAUCAGACAACCCGUUGUUGGGUUGCUGCCCCUGAAUUGGUAAUUUUAACGAAAUUUUGCUGUUUUUGGUUAUUAUCUUGAAUAUUAUUAUAGAUAGAGAUAAACUGUAAACAGGAAUAAUGUUCAGCAAAGUAAGAUUUACAAAUAAGUCAACUGGACGGAAAUGGUCAGUUGACCCCUUUAGGAGUUAUUGCCCUUUAUAGUCAAUUUUUAACCAUUUUUCGUAAAUCUUAGUAAUCUUUUACAAAAAUCUUCUCCUCUGAAGCUACUGGGCCAAAUAAUUCCAAACUUUAACUGAAUGUUCCUUAUGGUAUCUAGUUAGUAAAUUGUAUCUAAAGUUUUGAUCUAUCAACAAACAUGGUCGCCAUUGCUAAAAAUAGAACAUAGGGGUCAAAUGCAGUUUUUGGCUUAUAACUCAAAAACCAAAGCAUUUAGAGCAAAUCUGACGUGGGAAAUAUUGUUUAUCAGGUCAAGAUCUAUCUGCCCUAAAAUUUUCAGAUGAAUCAGACAACCUGUUGUUGGGUUGCUGCCCCUGAAUUGAUAAUUUUAAGGAAAUUUUGCUGUUUUUGUUUAUUAUCAUGAAUAUAAUUAUAGAUAGAAAUAAACUGUAAACAGCAAAAAUGUUAAGCAAAGUAAGAUCUACAAAUAAGUCAAUAUGACCAAAAUUGUCAAUUGACCCCUUAAGGAGUUAUUGCCCUUUAAAGACUUUUUUUCACAAUUUGUUCAUCAUGUUGACUUACUUUAAAAAAUCUUCUCCUUUGAAACUGCUGUAUCAAUUUCAGCCAAACUUAAGGCAAAAUGAGUUUCAGAGUAUCUAGUAUAAAUUUUAUAUUUUAUGUCCUUGUAUGUCAAGAAACAUAGCUCCUAUGGCUAAAAUAGAACAUAGGAGAAACUGAUUUUUUUUUUUGCUUUUGAAGAAAAUAGGACGAUCCAAAAAACAUUUUAAUAAAUUGAAAAGUCAAAAUAAUCAUUGAUGAGAGAUUUAACCAAAAGAAUUAAGGUGAGCGAUUCAGGCUCUUGAGAGCCUCUUGUUUUAUUUUGUUAUUUCUCAGGAUGUCAUGUAGAGGUACAGUCAUGACAGUAAUCUAAACAGCUAUUCAAUUUCAUUCAAAAUUCUUUGAAAAUUUGGCACUAGUAAAUAUAAACUGAAGUAAUUUGUUUUUCGUUUAGUUAUGGGAUUUUUAUGGCCAGUAACAAAGUAGCCGGUGCCUAAGUUUCUUCCUUGUACUAAAAUUCCUAUUUUCCGUAAUUCCAUAAUUCAGUAAUUCCGAAAUAAACUUUACAGUGUUUUUUUCUAAACGCCAUAGAUACUGGCCUGAUUUUUGGUAUGUAAGUUAACUAUGAUGAGUUACAGAUCAAUUAUAAGUUUUGUUCCACUCCCCUAAUUUCUGUUGAAAUUACCCUCUAUAAAUUGUUGAAAAUCACAGUUAUAUGCACUUUUUUCCUAAACGCUUUCAGAUAUUGGGCUCAUUUUUGGUAUGUGAGUUACAGAUCAAGUUUAAGUUUCGUCAAUACCCUAAUAUUUGCUGUAAUUUCAGGCUUUGGACUUUGAAAAAUUUUGGAAAAUCAAAGUUAUAUGGACCUUUCUUCUAUUAAAAUGCUUUCAGAUAUUGGGCUGAUUUUUGGUAUGUGAGCUAACCAUGAUGAGUUACAUAUCAAGUUUAAGUUUCGUUCCGCUGUGUAAUUUUUUCCAGAAUUAAGGGUUUUAAACUUUGAAAAUUGUUCAAAAAUCAUAUUUAUAUGGACAUUUUUCUAUAUGCCUCCAGAUUUAGAGCUGACUUUUUAUAUGUGAGACAACCAUCAUGUUUGUAUCCACAUGUGUUAUUGAAAUUGCAGAUUUUGAAAUUUUUGGGACGUAGCCUUUCGUUUUGCUUUGACACAUCUAGUUUAAGAUACAUUUAUGAUUAUCAUUUUUGUAUUGACUACAUUACAGUAGAUGCAUUUAUGAUUUUCAUGUUUUUAUUGACCACAUUGCAGCAACAUAGAUAUAUAGGUACCUGGCAAAUAUUACCUUGUUAGCAUACUAGGCUCAAAGGGCCAUAAAAAAGUCCAUCUCUUAGUGUCUGUUAAAAUCAUCUCUAUAUUGCAACUGUUUACAGUUUUCUCUUUUUAAACCAUUAUUUUAAAAACUUUAGAAGAAGUAUCAUACAUAUAUGUAUAUAUAUAUAUAUUUAUUGUAAAAACUAUCAAAAUGUCAAGAUCUUUUACUACCCAAAAUUUUUCUGAAAAAUUGGGACGUAACAUCUAUGAGCUAUUGUCCCUGAAGUGUGAAAAUUUACAAAUUUUCAGAGUUUUCUGCUAAAAUCUGACAGCUAUAUAUCAAUAUGAUAUAAGAAAAUAUUGCAAAAGUGUUCAGAAAAACUUAUUUUUACAGUCUGAACUUAUUCUGAAUUAUUUUAAAUUCAUUGCUUUUGAAUUAUGUGUUUUUUAUCGUUUUGAGGUGCACAAUUUGUCAAUUCAAGCUAUUUCGGCUCCUGGGAGCCUCUAGAUUUGUGAUGAAUCAAUUGUAUUUGUAUAUGAUUUUUUUCUUAAUGUAUUAAAUGAAACAUUAAUUAUUCUUU